rnacentral:rRNA from 1 species
GCACAAGCGGUGGAUGAUGUGGUUUAAUUCGAUGCAACGCGAAAACUUACCCACCUUUGACAUGUACGGAAGCCUUUAGAGAUAGAGGCGUGCUCGAAAGAGAGCCGUAACACAGGUGCUGCAUGGCUGUCGUCAGCUCGUGUCGUGAGAUGUUGGGUUAAGUCCCGCAACGAGCGCAACCCUUGUCAUUAGUUGCUACAUUCAGUUGGGCACUCUAAUGAGACUGCCGGUGACAAGCCGGAGGAAGGUGGGGAUGACGUCAAGUCCUCAUGGCCCUUAUAGGUGGGGCUACACACGUCAUACAAUGGCUGGUACAAAGGGUUGCCAACCCGCGAGGGGGAGCUAAUCCCAUAAAGCCAGUCGUAGUCCGGAUCGUAGUCUGCAACUCGACUACGUGAAGUCGGAAUCGCUAGUAAUCGUGGAUCAGAAUGUCACGGUGAAUACGUUCCCGGGUCUU